UGCCUAACACAUGCAAGUCGAACGAAUUUAGGGGCUUCGGCCCCAACAGUUAGUGGCGGACGGGUGAGUAACGCGUAGGAACCUACCAGGCAGUGGGGAAUAACAGCUGGAAACGGCUGCUAAUACCGCAUACGUCCCUUCGGGGAGAAAGAUUUAUCGCUGUUUGAGGGUCCUGCGUUCGAUUAGCUAGUUGGUGUGGUAACGGCGCACCAAGGCUACGAUCGAUAGCUGGUCUGAGAGGAUGAUCAGCCACACUGGGACUGAGACACGGCCCAGACUCCUACGGGAGGCAGCAGUGGGGAAUAUUGGACAAUGGGGGAAACCCUGAUCCAGCAAUGCCGCGUGCGUGAAGAAGGCCUUAGGGUUGUAAAGCGCUUUCACCUGUGAUGAUGAUGACAGUAACAGGAGAAGAAGCCCCGGCUAACUCC
rnacentral:rRNA from 1 species